rnacentral:lncRNA from 1 species
CCUGACCAUCCCAGUCCAGUUCCUCCAGAGCUGGCUUUGACAGUCACGACCAAUCAAGACCCUGCUGUCUCCACAUCAUAGAGCUGCUGGACUGCAGGAGCAUCCCGACCAGCCCUCGUCCUGCCUGGACAUCACGGCAAGCUCUUCAGUGAGCAGAGACCAUGGAGGUCAAACUGUUCGAUUUCAGUGCUGGGGACCUUCUGAAGAGCACGCCUCAAAUCUCCUUCAGUGAAUGCUGCCGUUUUUUCUUGUGGUUGCCCAAGGAGCAUCCCGGAGCAGAGGGUUCAUCUGGAGGAGAUAGGCUCACAUGACUGGUUCAAGGUAAGUCUACACUAGCUAAAAUGAUUGAUUAUUUAUUUCAAUUUGGUUUAAUCAGAAUCCCUUCUGCAACUGUUAUAUAGGCAAUCCAUAUACACUACACAGAUGUCAAGAUAUAUUUUUAUACCUUGUGAAGUAUGUUUGUGUAUUUUGUAUAAUUUCUAAUUGUGUUUUAGGUCCUGUAGGUCGUGGUGAAGAGGGA